AUCUCUUGGUAGCACUUUUCAUUCAACUAGUGGACAAAGGCAAAGAGACAGGUAUAAAAAUCAAUCCUUUUUCACAACCUAGAACCCAUUGUUCAUAUGAGUUUUGAUACAUAUAAAAAGGAAUAUG
rnacentral:snoRNA from 1 species